rnacentral:lncRNA from 1 species
ACAUGUUUUAAAUCUUUAUAAAUAUUAAUAUUGUGUAUCUUUCUGCAACUUGUUUUGGAUCAGAAUUAAUUUAUGCAAGGAUAAGUUGUUCAUAUAUCCAGCAUUAUGGCUAACGUUUGUUUAGUGCUUAUGGUAUGCCAGGCACUUUGCUAAGAAUUUUACGUGUUCUUUUUUUUUUGGUCUUUUGUCCUUUUAGGGCUGCACCCAUGGCUUAUGGAGGUUCCAGGACUAGGGGUCUAAUCAGAGCUGUAGCUGCCAGCCUAUGCCACAGCCACAGCAACACAGUAUCCAAGCUGUGUCUGCAACCUACACCUCAGCUCAUGGCAACACCGGAUCCUUAACCCACUGAGCGGGGCCAGGGAUUGAACCCGCAACCUCAUGGUUCUUAGUUGGAUUCAUUUUUGCGGCGCCACAGUGAGAACUCCCAUGUCUUCUAGUUCUAAUUACCUUUCUAAAAUUUAGUAAUUGUGUACUGGUACUCUGCUACAAUUCUUUUCCUGUAUGGGAUUUUGGAAUUGUUGGGCUGAUUCAGAAAUCACUUAAUUUCACAAAAGAAAAAACAUAAAUAUAUUGAGUUAGUUUGGCCAUGACAAAAUUUGGCUUACCAUAAAUAUAAUUUCCUGUUCUGUCAUUGAUUAGCAGUUUCUGCCUCAUAUUGUUAUGUGGCUGGAAUUAAAAAAUCUGUUUUUCUUAAUUGACUUUGAGUUCUCAAGGAUAGAGACCAUGUCCUUGCCAGUUCCCAGUACCUAUUGCAAUGUCUGGCAUAGAGAAGGCUCAGCAAAUAUUUGUUGAAUGAAUGAUUAGUGCUUUCUGGUAUAACGUGUUUCCUUGUAACAAGGAAACUUAGGUCAUCAGUGGGGGUAGUGUGACUAAUUGAACAAGGAGGAAAAAGAAGAGGUGCAUGAAGCUAACUUCUCACUCCGUAUUUUUUAAAUUCUCCCUUUCUGUUUUGAAAUGGAUUUAAACGAUGCUUAUGUUGAUGCUAUUUGUAAUUUGUAUUUUCUGUUUUAUAACUGUAGUCUGAUGGGCUCUGAAGUGUUAUAAAGUUUUUUUUCCCUCAUUUUCUGAUUAAAGACCUUACUUCUGUUGCUUUCUGAAUUCAGGAUUCUCAAACUUAAUGGCUGUAUUUCAGUUAAGUACAGUGUAUGAUAUGAUAUGUUUGCUCCUUAUUGAAGGUUGGCGUAUUCAUUUUUGUCCUUGAAAGUUGCUUUUGUUAGCUCAGUCGUAACCAACCCGACUGGUAGCCAUGAGGAUGCUGGUUCGAUCCCUGGCACCGCUCAGUGGGUUAAGGAUCUGGCAUUGCUGUGAGCUUCGGUAUAGGUCGCACAUGUGGCUCGGACCACAGCCACAGCAACUUGGGAUUUGAGCUGAGUCUUCGACCUACACCACAGCUAAUGGCCACUCUGGAUCCUCAACCCACUAAGGAAGGCCGGGGUUGAACCCGUGUCCUCAUGGGUACUAAUUGGGUUCGUUACUACUAAGCCAUAACAGGAACCCCUUAAUUGUUGUGUUUUGAGAGUUCUUGUUAUGUUCGGGAUACAUGUCUUUUGUUGAUAUGUAAUUUGCAAAUAACCCAGUCUAUAACUUGUCUUUUUAAAUUUUACUGAAGUAUAGUUGACUUACAAUGUCAUAAUUAUUUCUGCUAUCCAACAAUGUGAUCCAGUUAUUCAUAUCCAUUUUUUUCAGGUUCUUUUCCCAUAUAGGUUAUUACAGAACAUUGAGUAGAAUUUCCUGCGCUCUUCAGCAGGUCCCCACUGACCAUCCAUUCCAUGUACAAUAGUAUGAUUAUGCCUGUCUUUUUGUUUUCUCCUUCCUUCCUUCCUCCCUUCCUUCCCCACACCUAUGGCAUGUGGAAAUUCCUGGCUGGGGAUUGAAAUGGAGCUGCAGCUGCCAGCCUGUGCCACAGUCAGAGCAACACUGGAUCUGAGCCACUUCUGCGACCUGCACUGCAGCUUGUGGCAUUUCUGGAUCCUUAAACCACUGUGCGAGGCCAGGUCACAUCCUCACGGGCACUAUAUCAGUUCUUAAUCUGCUGCGCCACAAUGGGAACGUAUUGUAUUUUACAUUUAGAUCAGUGGUCCAUUUUUUGUUAAUAAGAUGUGAGAUUUAGGUUGAAUUUGUUUAUUUUUGCUUGUGGAUGUCCAAUUGUGAUGUGCAUUGAGUUGUUUAUAGUAUUACCUAGUUAUCCUUUUACUGUUUGUGGUGAUAUAUCCCCUCUUUCAUUCCUGGUAUUGCUAAUUUGUAUUGUUUCUCUUUUAUUGUCUGGCCAGAGGUAUCAAUUUUAUUGAUCUUUCUGAAGAACUAGUCUUUGGUGUCAUUGACUGGAUCUGUUUUUUGUUUUUAAUUUCUUUCUUUUUUUAAAAACAAUAAUUGCUUGCUUUUUUCCUAGUUCUUUUGGGUUUAUUUUGCUCUUUUUCUAGUGUUUUUCUUUUUUAACCCCUUUUUUGGCCUCCCCCGGGCCAGGGAUCAGAUCUGAGCCACAGUUGUGACUUAAGCUGCAGCUGCAGCGACAGUGGAUCCUUAACCUGCUGUGCUGGGCUGGGGAUUGAGCCUGCCUCCCAGUGCUUCUAAGACACUGCCGAUCCUGUUGCCCACAGUGGGAACUCCUUUUUCUAGUUUCUUAAAGUAAUAGCUUAGAUUUUUAGAUUGUUCAGAUGUUCCUUUUGUUCUGGUACAAGCAUUUAAUGUUAUACAUUUCCUGCUACACGCUGCUUUAGUGUAUACCUCUAUUUUGUGUGUUUAUAUUUUCAGUAUAUUUACUAAUUUCCCUUGAUAUUUCCUCUUUCACCCAUGGAAUCCAUUGAUUAUUUGGGAGUCUGUUAUUUAAUUUCGAAGUACAUGGAGAGUUUUCCAGUUAGUUUUCUGUUAUUGAUUUGUAGUUUAACUCCAUUAUGGACAGAGAGCAUACUUUGUAUGAUUUCCAUUCAUUUAAGUUUAUUAACUCUGUUUGUUUUGUUUUGGCUCAGGAAAAUUUCUCUUGCUUGGGGUCUUCUGUAAACGUUGGUUAGAUUCAGUUAGAUGAUGAUGGCAUUCAGAUCUUUUAUAUUCUUGCUGAUGCUCUCUGUAGUUAAAUCCUUUACUUGGAGAGCAUGUUGAAGUCUCCAACUAUAAUUGAGGGGUUUAUUUUUCCUUUCGUAUCUGUAAUUUUUUUUUUUUUUGUCUGUUUAGAGCCUCACCCAGGGCAUUCGGAUGUUCCCAGGCCAGGGGUCGAAUUGGAGCCACAGCUGUUGGCCUACAGUACAGCCACAGCAAUGCAGAAUCAGAGCUGCAACCGGGACCUAUACCACAGCUCACGGCAAUGCCAGAUCUUCCACGCACUGAGUGAGGUUCGAACUCUCAUCCUCCUAGACACUAGUCUGGUUCAUUUCUCCUCAGCCACAACAGGAACUCCUGUAUCUGUAAUUUUUUCCUUAUGUUUUUAGUGCUGUUGUCAGGUAUGUUUGCAGUUAGGAUUGUUGUAUAUUUGUGGUGAAUUUACUCUUUUAUCAAGCAGUGGGAGGGUAGAGAGUGUUUUACUCCAUGCCUUUAGGAUUACAGCUCCUCUGGUCAGAGAGGAGUUCGACUUCCCCACUUUUUAAAGGUUUUUGUGUGUCUGUGUCUUUUUUGGGGGGACCGCACCUGCGACAUAUGGAAGUUCCCAGGCCAGGGGGGAAUUGGAGCUGUAGCCGCCGGCCCACACCACAGCCAUAGCAAUGUGGGAUCUGAGCCACAUGUAACCUACACCACAGCUCACAGCAACGCCGGAUCCUCCACCCACCAAGAGAGGCCAGGGAUCUAACCUGUGUGCCUUCUCCACUUUUUAGAUGUCUGCCUUGCUCUUACUGCCAUUGCUACUGCCAUUGCUCUUCUGCCACAGCCACCACCUUUGCAGUAUUGCCUAGGGGCAGGGUAGAGGGAAGAAAAACAAAACAAAACAGAGAAUUUCCUCCUUUGUCCUUUAUCUUCCUUUUCCUUUUUUUGCUUUUUGAGCCAGAAAUAGGUUUUUUCUUAAGAGUUUUUUCUCUGUACUCAGUGUGCACUUGUGGGUUUUGGGCUGCCCUUGGGUCCAGGCUGGGUAGUGCUGGAGGAAAGUGAUAACUUCUUGCCAAUUUGAUGGAAUUUCUAAUUCUGCUUUCUUUCUCCAGUCUGCUCACUGUCACUGACUUUUCACAGCCCUCAGCUAGCUGUGGCAUGUAUUUUGUUCAGAAUUUAUAGUUGCAAAUGGAGGGAGAGAGAGGCAGGAAUCUCCAUGGAGUGUUGUUUAUUCCAUCUUCACUGGAACCAGAACUUAGUUUUGAUCUUAGAAUGUAUUCUGAAAUAUACCAAAAUUCUUUACUAUGUAAAUAAACUUUUAUUUUUCAUUCAUGCCUAUGUGGACCAAAAAAAAAAAAAA